GGGUCAGUAGGUUGGUCGUGCCACCGGUACGUACUGGUCUCACUGAUUCCUCCUUCCUGAAGAACCGUAAUGCCAUUAAUUUGGUGUUGCGGGGAAACAGGACUGUUACUUUGAAAAAAUUAGAGUGUUUAAAGCAAGCUAACGCUUGAAUACAUUAGUAUAGAAUAAUGAAAUAGGACGAUCGAUCCUAUUUUGUUGGUUUCUAGGAUUGACGUA
rnacentral:rRNA from 1 species